CUAUUUCCGAACUUGCUUGACUCUAGAGACAAAGCGUGCUGGAUAAUGUCUAAAACUUUAAUGCCACAAUCGCUAUUUAUGCAAGGCUGAAAAAUUAAUAAAUAAACAAUAAAACUUUGAAAACUUAAAUGAUUUUUUGGGGGCGGGUAUUCGAUAAUAGCUUUCUGUAUACAAAUCUUCACCUGCAUUUUCAUAUGAACUCGUUUGUUUCUUAUUUGCUACUUGCACCGGAUUGUAAAAUUAGAAAGUGCUACGGAAAAUAUUGAAUAUAUAUAAUGCUAAUAGUAAUAAAAUAUUAUUUAACCUUAAACAAAUAUGCU